UACGUAGGUGGCGAGCGUUGUCCGGAUUUAUUGGGCGUAAAGCGCGCGCAGGCGGUGAGGUAAGUCCGUCGUGAAAUCUCCCGGCUCAACUGGGAGGGUGCGGGGGAGACUGUCUGACUGGAGGCACUCAGAGGCCGGUGGAAUUCCCGGUGGAGUGGUGAAAUGCGUAGAGAUCGGGAGGAACACCAGUGGCGAAGGCGGCCGGCUGGGGGUGACCUGACGCUGAGGCGCGAAAGCGUGGGGAGCGAACCGG
rnacentral:rRNA from 1 species